rnacentral:rRNA from 1 species
UUAGAGGGACUGUUAGGGGGGCAACUCCUUGAUGGACCCCUCGGGGACCUGGUGGCGGAAGACCUUGGCUGCCUUCACGGGCGUCCGGCGUACGCUUNACAACCAACUUAGAACUGGUACG